GACGAACGCUGGCGGCGUGCUUAACACAUGCAAGUCGAACGGAAAGGCCUCUUUCGGGGGGUACUCGAGUGGCGAACGGGUGAGUAACACGUGAGUAACCUGCCCUUGACUUUGGGAUAACUUCAGGAAACUGGGGCUAAUACCGGAUAGGAGCUCCUGCUGCAUGGUGGGGUUGGAAAGUUUCGGCGGUUGGGGAUGGACUCGCGGCUUAUCAGCUUGUUGGUGGGGUAGUGGCUUACCAAGGCUUUGACGGGUAGCCGGCCUGAGAGGGUGACCGGCCACAUUGGGACUGAGAGACGGCCCAGACUCCUACGGGAGGGAGCAGUGGGGAAUAUUGCACAAUGGGUGGAAGCCUGAUGCAGCAACGCCGUGUGCGGGAUGACGGCCUUCGGGUUGUAAAACGCUUUCGCUCAUGACGAAGCGUUGUGUGACGGUAGUGGGUAAAGAAGCACCGGCUAACUACGUG
rnacentral:rRNA from 1 species